rnacentral:rRNA from 1 species
UUGCUAUGACCGGGGGUAUCCGGCCUGAGAGGGUGAACGGACUACACUGGAACUGAUGACACGGUCCAGACUCCUACGGGAGGCAGCAGUAGGGAAUAUUGCUCAAUGGGGGAAACCCUGAAGCAGCAACGCCGCGUGGAGGAUGAAGGUUUUAGGAUUGUAAACUCCUUUUGUUAGAGAAGAUAAUGACGGUAUCUAACGAAUAAGCACCGGCUAACUCCGUGCCAGCAGCCGCGGUAAUACGGAGGGUGCAAGCGUUACUCGGAAUCACUGGGCGUAAAGAGCGCGUAGGCGGGAUAGUCAGUCAGGUGUGAAAUCCUAUGGCUUAACCAUAGAACUGCAUUUGAAACUACUAUUCUAGAGUGUGGGAGAGGUAGGUGGAAUUCUUGGUGUAGGGGGGUAAAAUCA